rnacentral:lncRNA from 1 species
AAAUGUUUAUUAUUCAUGCUAGAAUUGUAUUAACCGGAAACAUAAUACAUGUGUGAAUACAUAGACAAACAUCGUGUCACUAGUAUGCCUCUACUUGACUAGCUUGUUGAUCAAAGAUGGUUGUGUUUCCUAGCCAUAGACAUGGGUUGUCAUUUGAUUAACGGGAUCACAUCAUUAGGAGAAUGAUGUGAUUGACUUGACCCAUUCCGUUAGCUUAGCACUUGAUCAUUUAGUAUGUUGCUAUUGCUUUCUUCAUGACUUAUACAUGUUUCUAUGACUAUGAGAUUAUGCAACUCCCGUUUACCGAAGGAACACUUUGUGUGCUACCAAACGUCACAACGUAACUGGGUGAUUAUAAAGGAGCUCUAAAGGUGUCUCCGGAGGUACAUGUUGAGUUGGCGUAUUUCGAGAUUAGGAUUUGUCACUCCGAUUGUCGGAGAGGUAUCUCUGGGCCCACUCGGUAAUGCACAUCACUAUAAGCCUUGCAAGCAUUGUAACUAAUGAGUUAGAUGCAGGAUGAUGUAUUACGGAACGAGUAAAGAGACUUGCCGGUAACGAUAUUGAGCUAGGUAUUGAGAUACGACGAUCGAAUCUCGGGUAAGUAACAUACCGAUGACAAAGGGAACAACAUAUGUUGUUAUGCGGUUUGACCGAGAAAGAUCUUCUUAGAAUAUGUAGGAGCCAAUAUGAGCAUCCAGGUUCCGCUAUUGGUUAUUGACCGGAGGCGUGUCUCGGUCAUGUCUACAUUGUUCUUGAACCCAUAGGGUCCGCACGCUUAAAGUUCGGUGACGAUUUAUAUUAUGAGUUUAUGUGUUUUGAUGUACUGAAGGAGUUCGGAGUCUCAGAUGAGAUCGGGGACAUGACGAGGAAUCUUGAAAUGGUCGAGACGUAAAGAUCGAUAUAUCUUUACCUAAUAAUAAAGCAAAUUGGGUUUCUGUCGUCCGUCAUCAUGGCAGUUUUUCAAAAAGGCCCCUCGGUUUAAAUGAUAUCAACCCGCACUCCCUAUUUUAGUAAAUAAUAAAGCAUCUAGACUGUUUCUGACCGCACCGGCAGUGUUGUAGGCCGCCGCGGAGAACGGGGUGCACGGGGUGGCGUAGCAGGGGCCCCCGGCGAGUGGGGAGCAGGAGGCGCAAUGCAUCCCAGCACCGCACGACGACUGCGAGCCCGUGGCUCACCUGUCGCCCACCAACGCGGACUCUGAGGCCAUCCCGACAGAGAGAAUCAGGAUGAGGAGGAUGCCGCUGCAGCGAGCCAUCCCGACGGCGAGGGCGGCCAUCGUACGCUCGCUCGCUUGCUGUCCACCGCCGGCAGUCCCCUCCGGCCUUGACGCGGACGGGAGGGAGAGACCCCUGAUGUCGACAUCUCCAUCGCGCGGCGCGUCACACGCGGAUCUCAUCGGAGAACCUGAGGGUGGCCGUCCAAGGGGAAGGAGUGGAAGAGGACGCCGGCAUGCAAGCUGUGCGAGGUGCAGAUCCAGCUGAAGGUCUGCCGCGACCGCACCGUGGCCGGGGCGUGCGCCGACGGCCUGCAAGCAUAGAACGAAAUGAGAGAGAGAGAGAGAGAGAGAGAGAGAGAGACACGCGCGCGCACACACACACACACAUGGGAGAGGGAGCGGAGGGGACGAGAUCCGGUGGCGGCGCUCGCUCCGGUGGAACGGGGGGAUGCCAGCGACUUUGCACAUCUAGCGCUGCAUAUUUGUGGAAGCACGGGGAUGAGAAAGAGGGAGCUAGAGAAGGGAGCUGGAUGCAGAUGAAUCUCGGUGGGUGGAGACGAAUGGAUAAGAUAGCGGUGGAGGUACACACGUGACGAC